UACGUAGGGGGCAAGCGUUGUCCGGAUUUAUUGGGCGUAAAGAGCGUGUAGGCGGCCAUACAGGUCCGUUGUGAAAACUGGAGGCUUAACCUCCAGACGUCGACGGAAACCGUGUGGCUAGAGUCCGGAAGAGGAGAGUGGAAUUCCUGGUGUAGCGGUGAAAUGCGCAGAUAUCAGGAAGAACACCAAUGGCGAAGGCAGCUCUCUGGGACGGUACUGACGCUGAGACGCGAAAGCGUGGGGAGCGAACAGG
rnacentral:rRNA from 1 species